UUGGUGUAAAAAGAAAAAGCAUCCCCAGACAAAUUGGUCAUUAAUAGGGCGGGGCCAGGAAUGUUGACUCUGUACCUAGCUUCACCCGAGGCACCAAUACUUGUCACACAAAUUCAUUAACCGUGCCUGAUUCAUGGCUGUUGAAAAAAUCAACGGUAAAAAAUGAGAAUCGAAGCAGAAACAAGAAGAACAUGCUACACUGGAACGCAACCCAACCCAAGAAUUAAAAGGUAAAGACGCGAAGCCCGGGAAACGACACAAGGGGUCAGACUGCAACACUGAGUCUGACUAGUACAAUACACCAAACCCUACCCCACUUCCCAUCUUCACACGCACCCUAACCCUAACCAUUUGGUCCACGCCUUUAACCAUGGUUAAUUACUGCUCCAUUCCACGGGUUAGUCUACGAACACUCUUCUACUCACUCAGUCAAACACCCUUUUUAAACCUCACUCUCUCUUCUAGAUGCCUACACGUGAGAUUCUUUAUUAUUAAUUGCAGAAAAUAAUUGUAUGUGUGUUAUGGGAACGGCACAAGAUUGGACAAACAAAAAGAGAGAAGAUGAAUUAAACUGCUUACGUUUUUCUGAUUUGGUUAUUAACUUUUUCAUUUCACCGUAAAGUUCAGAAGGGUGUUUGGUUGUUUUAAUAAUAAUGUUUCCGGAAUCUGGAUCAUGGUCAAGAUGUACCGGUCUACUUGCUUUUGACGUAUUGAGAUAGAAUUUGCAUUAGAAAGGAGGAGGAAUCAGAAGAUUUUAGUGUGGUUGUAUUAUAUUGCAGUGUUUUUUUAGUGUUGCUGUGUUCCAUUAGGUUUACUGAUAUAUGAAAAACGAUGAUCUAGAAAAUUGUCAGAUAUUAUUGGAGACAGAGUUGUUGGGGUGGUUGGUAUUAUUUGAUAGGGAAGUGUUUAUGGGGAAAAAGAAACGACAAAAGACAAAGGAACUUUCGGUAGCGAUAGCCGAGGCUUCAUCCAAAGGAGGUGACACGGAGCAUCAUCAUCAUCAUCAACAACAAGAAGAAGAACCUCGGCGUCCACGAAAAAGAGGGAGACCUCGUAAGGUUGUUGUUGUGGAAACGGAAAGCGAGGGGAAAAAAGUGGAAGCAGAAGCUUCUGCAGCAGCAGAGAAAGAAAAAGAAGAAGAAGAAGAAGAUGAACAGCAUGUAAAGGCAGAAGAGGAGUUAACAUCAGCAUCGGCAACAACAUGCACGAUGAUAGUUACAAAGGAAGGGAUUCAACUCCCAAAAGGGGAACCCUCGAGAAGCAGGGCCAGACGCAAAAGCAAACCCCGAAAAAGCACUUGAAAAUUAUUACCUUUUCUUUAUAAUUUCUCACGCAAGCUUCCAACGAACUUUUUCUUCAGGUUAUCUAAACCCAGGAGAACUUGAAUGCAGUGUUUCAUUUCAUUCCCAGAACUUGCUUUUGAUGCUGCCUUAAUCUGUGACUGCUAUAAUCAGUUUAAACAUAGCUCUUGGAUUUAAAUUUACUUGGUUUGUUACUAAAUAUGUUGUCUCUCAACAGUACAAAUAUUGCUUCAUUGUUUGUUUUUCUCUUCCCCUACAAUUCUUAGCUGUUGCCCAGUUGUUUUUUAUGUCUAGAGCUUUUCUUGCUAUUAUGCCAGAUCAUAUCUAUAUGAUAAGGGGCUGAAUAGAUUUAUUAUGCCAGAUCGUAUCAAUAUGAUAAGGUGUUGAAUAGAUUUAUGAUAAUAAUAUCACGGAC
rnacentral:lncRNA from 1 species